GACCCUUGGUUCCUGUGUUGCCUUCCCGUCGAAUGGAAAAUCUCGUGAGAUAGCCCCGCCCCUUUCCCCCUUGUGGCUUUGCGGCCGCAAAGUGGACCUCGAAAGCAGUGCCUGUGUCCCGGGCGUAUCCUCGGACUGUUGUCGUGGUUGUCUCGGUCCACAGGACGACUGCUCGUGCUCUCGGAUGUGGAAAAUUAAGCGGACAUGGGGGGUCUCGGCCCCUGGUUGCUCCCAAUCAAGUCCCUCGAUAGGAAUGACUUUCGAGAUACCUCAUUGAUCGCAGGCCGUCUAGGCCUGUGGCAUCGAUGCGGGUCCGAAGUCGAGAAAGUGAUGCUACCUGGUUGAUCCUGCCAGUAGUCAUAUGCUUGUCUCAAA
rnacentral:misc_RNA from 1 species